AUUGAACGCUGGCGGCAGGCCUAACACAUGCAAGUCGAACGAGUGGCGGACGGGUGAGUAAUGUCUGGGAAAGUGCCUGAUGGAGGGGGAUAACUACUGGAAACGGUAGCUAAUACCGCAUACUAUCAGAUGGGCCGAGAUGGGAUUAGCUAGUUGGGGGGGUAACGGCUCACCACGGCGACGAUCACUAGCUGGUCUGAGCGGAUGACCAGCCACACUGGAACUGAGACACGGUCCAGACUCCUACGGGAGGCAGCAGUGGGGAAUAUUGCACAAUGGGCGCAAGCCUGAUGCAGCCAUGCCGCGUGUAUGAAGAAGGCCUUCGGGUUGUAAAGUACUUUCCGCGGGGAGGCGUUACCCGCAGAAGAAGCACCGGCUAACUCCGUGCCAGCAGCCGCGGUAAUUC
rnacentral:rRNA from 1 species